UACGGAGGGUGCGAGCGUUGUCCGGAAUCAUUGGGCGUAAAGGGCGCGUAGGUGGCCCCUCAAGCGUGCGGUGAAAGUCAGGGGCUCAACCCCUGAUCGGCCGUGCGAACUGGGGAGCUUGAGCACUGUAGAGGCAGGCGGAAUUCCGGGUGUAGCGGUGGAAUGCGUAGAGAUCCGGAAGAACACCGGUGGCGAAGGCGGCCUCCUGGGAUAAAACUGACGCUCAGGCACGAAAGCGUGGGUAGCAAACAGG
rnacentral:rRNA from 1 species